UACAGAGGGGGCAAGCGUUGUUCGGAAUUACUGGGCGUAAAGCGCACGUAGGUGGUACGUCAAGUUCGGCGUGAAAUCUCCAGGCUCAACUUGGGAAUUGCGCUCGAAACUACUUGGCUCGAGUGUGGCAGAGGAAGGUGGAAUUCCACGUGUAGCGGUGAAAUGCGUAGAGAUGUGGAGGAACACCGAUGGCGAAGGCAGCCUUCUGGGCCAACACUGACGCUCAUGCACGAAAGCGUGGGGAGCAAACAGG
rnacentral:rRNA from 1 species